rnacentral:miRNA from 1 species
CUGGACUUGGAGUCAGAAGA